AUUACUGGGCGUAAAGCGCACGCAGGCGGUCUGUCAAGUCGGAUGUGAAAUCCCCGGGCUCAACCUGGGAACUGCAUUCGAAACUGGCAGGCUGGAGUCUUGUAGAGGGGGGUAGAAUUCCAGGUGUAGCGGUGAAAUGCGUAGAGAUCUGGAGGAAUACCGGUGGCGAAGGCGGCCCCCUGGACAAAGACUGACGCUCAGGUGCGAAAGCGUGGGGAGCAAACAGGAUUAGAUACCCUGGUAGUCCACGCUGUAAACGAUGUCGACUUGGAGGUUGUUCCCUUGAGGAGUGGCUUCCGGAGCUAACGCGUUAAGUCGACCGCCUGGGGAGUACGGCCGCAAGGUUAAAACUCAAAGGAAUUGACGG
rnacentral:rRNA from 1 species